rnacentral:rRNA from 1 species
AUGAAAAUGGGAGGAGAAGAACUGGCCACCAAUGCGGGGAUAAGAGAGAAGGCUUUCCACCACCCAUCGCCACUUUCCACACAGUUGUACAAGGUUGUCUUGUGUGAGCCAAUCACAAACGUCCAACCCACCUGUCAGGGCACACCAUGUACCCGACAACGAAUGCCACAUAAACGCGAUAACAAGCCGGCCCCCACUGGAGCCUCUCCCCGAUGCAAAAGAGAGGACGAUCGAGAAACUCAGCAAAGAGGAGUCAUCACCAAACCCGGGCAUUUCAAAAAUGACGGAAAACAAAUCAGCGAUAGAGGACGUGCGAGAAUGGUAGGCCAAAAUGAGGACAAGAGAAGGAUCGAAUUAGACGGCUACCAUUUCAAAAGUGCCGCAUACCCCCAUUCCUAG